rnacentral:rRNA from 1 species
GCGAGCGUACGGGUAGGAUUCCAGAGGCUGAAUCAGGAUGUGUGUUAGUGGUAGGGUCUGGAAAGGCGCGCGAUACAGGGUGACAGCCCCGUACACAAAAGCGCAUGUGCUGUGAGCUCGAUGAGUAGGGCGGGACACGUGGUAUCCUGUCUGAAUAUGGGGGGACCAUCCUCCAAGGCUAAAUACUCCUGACUGACCGAUAGUGAACCAGUACCGUGAGGGAAAGGCGAAAAGAACCCCGGCGAGGGGAGUGAAAAAGAACCUGAAACCGUGUACGUACAAGCAGUGGGAGCCCCACCACCAAAGCAUUCUCUGGUGUUGAAGGCCCUGCAAAGCAGCAUCGCGGUGGCGGAGCGUCGUUUGCGACGCCCAACACACAAAACAAGCGGUGAGUGCUUUGGGGUGGGGUGACUGCGUACCU